CACCAGUGGCGAAGGCGGCUGUCUGGUCUGCAACUGACGCUGAGGCUCGAAAGCAUGGGUAGCGAACAGGAUUAGAUACCCUGGUAGUCCAUGCCGUAAACGAUGAGUGCUAGGUGUUGGAGGGUUUCCGCCCUUCAGUGCCGGAGCUAACGCAUUAAGCACUCCGCCUGGGGAGUACGACCGCAAGGUUGAAACUCAAAGGAAUUGACGGGGGCCCGCACAAGCGGUGGAGCAUGUGGUUUAAUUCGAAGCUACGCGAAGAACCUUACCAGGUCUUGACAUCUUGCGCUAACCUUAGAGAUAAGGCGUUCCCUUCGGGGACGCAAUGACAGGUGGUGCAUGGUCGUCGUCAGCUCGUGUCGUGAGAUGUUGGGUUAAGUCCCGCAACGAGCGCAACCCUUGUUACUAGUUGCCAGCAUUAAGUUGGGCACUCUAGUGAGACUGCCGGUGACAAACCGGAGGAAGGUGGGGACGACGUCAGAUCAUCAUGCCCCUUAUGACCUGGGCUACACACGUGCUACAAUGGACGGUACAACGAGUCGCAAGCUCGCGAGAGUAAGCUAAUCUCUUAAAGCCGUUCUCAGUUCGGACUGUAGGCUGCAACUCGCCUACACGAAGUCGGAAUCGCUAGUAAUCGCGGAUCAGCAUGCCGCGGUGAAUACGUUCCCGGGCCUUGUACACACCGCCCGUCACACCAUGGGAGUUUGUAACGCCCAAAGUCGGUGGCCUAACCAUUAUGGAGGGAGCCGCCUAA
rnacentral:rRNA from 2 species